UCUAGGACUAGGGGCCCUGUCUAGUCCUAUUUCAUACCAACCGUGCCCAUUUUGAAGUACAAUCAAUAGCCCACCAAGAAAAGCCUCCGGCAUAAGAUCAUCGACAAGAACUUUAGCCAACCAUAUCAUUGGCCACUCUCUUGAACUUUGGUAAUCAUACCAAAUACCCAGCUGAUCAUGCGCGCAUUCAGAUUCUUUCAUGGAAAAUGUGGGGAGGGGUUUUAGGUCUGCUGGAUGCGAGCAACUUUGGGCUCUCAAUGGUUGAGGAAUACGACUAUUAAAAACACCUUAUGGUAGCCCAUUUAUUUAUACUUUGAAUUGUAAAUCCUUCCUUGGAUGUUUUUCAUUUUUCUUUCCCAUCUAUGUUUUUUCCGUAUAUACUUUACAUGUUCAUCUUCAUAUCAUAAUUAAUAUUUUCUCUCUCAUGUCUCAUAAUAUUAUAAAGAUAUCUACACUUUCCUUAUUCAA